UACGUAGGGUGCAAGCGUUAUCCAGAAUUAUUGGGCGUAAAGAGCUCGUAGGCGGUUUGUCACGUCUGCUGUGAAAACUGGAGGCUCAACCUCCAGCCUGCAGUGGGUACGGGCAGACUAGAGUGCGGUAGGGGAGAUUGGAAUUCCUGGUGUAGCGGUGGAAUGCGCAGAUAUCAGGAGGAACACCGAUGGCGAAGGCAGAUCUCUGGGCCGUAACUGACGCUGAGGAGCGAAAGCGUGGGGAGCGAACAGG
rnacentral:rRNA from 1 species